UAGUCCAAAGCAAAUAAAUACAUUAAUUUAGAGUAACCGAUUACAUACAAUUUCUCUGUUAUUAGCAGAAGAUUGCUUGUCUGCCUCUGUUAAUAAACUUAAUUUCGUGGUUGCUGUUAUUUAACAGCGUGUUGAAUUUUCUUCCCACGAUUUUCCAGAAAUUUUUAGAGAUCUUAAAAGUGGUGCCAUGAAUUUGCACCUUCUCCGCCUUAUGCAAUUUUCAUCGCAGUAUUAAAGAUGAAAUGGAAAUGUUCGGAAAGCUUUAUUCCAAUACAGUAAAUACCGCUCAGCAACACUACUUAGCGACGGAUUCCCAAUUUCGUUGGCUCUGUCAUCGGUAGAAAAAAUCCAGGCGUCGUGGAAAAAUUUUUCUUUGUAUGAAUAAGUUAAUUUAUGUUACUAUGAAAACUAUAUUUGUGUUUAAAAUAUUGUAAAAUUUGCCUUGGGGCAAUAGAAUUUAAGCAAAUGAAAAAUUAUUGUUAAAGUUUCGGAUAUUGAAUAAGGAAAUCGAUUAUAAUUCAUCUCUGCCUCUCGCAUAUUAAAUUUCUGACUGACGGUGUCUUAACCGCUGAUACUACCUUGAUGAAAACAGAUAAUUAGAUAAAGCAAUACAUAAAUAUCUAUUGGAAAAGUAGUCUGCAUUCAAUUAUCGCCUUGAACGGGAGAAAAACAAUAUCAAGUGUGUAAAAGAUUCUGUACAACGAAAUGGCACAUUCGUUGCACCACACAGAGCGAAGCAUUCAUGAAAUGCUCAAGGAUACACCACCAAUGAAUGAAAGCGGUAGUGCUAUACAUAGUGGAACCGAAGGCCGAGCUUUUAUGCCACCAAAUAGUCUACCACUUCAUAAUCAUUCUGUUUUUUCAGCACCUGCUACACCUUUGUCACAAACAAGCCCUCAGAAUGGUGUGGAUGCUGGCCUGCUGCGUACGGGAGCAUCGAAAAUUGACAGUAUAAAGAAUUGGAGCAUAUCAACCUACAAAUGUACCCGGCAAAUAAUGUUGGAAAAGCUGGGCAAAUCACAGCGUACGGUUGACUCAGAAUUAGAAGCGCAAAUUGAACAAUUGCGAGAAACACAACGGAAAUAUUUAUCAAUUUUGCGCUUGACGCGUGCUUUCAGUUCACAUUUUCAUCAUGUUGUAGUAACGCAGCAUGCUCUGGCGGAAGCCUUUGCAGAUUUGGCACAGAAAAGCCCUGAACUACAAGAAGAAUUCACUUGUAAUUCAGAGACACAACGAAAUCUUACGAAAAAUGGUGAGCUGCUGCUUAGUGCGCUGAAUUUUUUUAUUUCAUCUGUGAAUACAUUGUGUAAUAAAACCAUUGAUGACACGUUACUUACAAUCAAGCAAUAUGAGAUCGCCAGAGUGGAGUUCGACGCUUAUCGAAUGGAUUUGGAAAACACCAAACCCGAAUUGCCCCAAAGUCCUGUUACUGAAGAAGCACAAAAAAACUUUUCACAUCAUAAGGAACUUUAUGAAAAGUUACGAGCAGAUGUAGCUAUCAAAAUGCAAUUUCUUGAUGAAAAUAGGAUAAAAGUAAUGCAUAAACAACUGGUGUUGCUUCACAAUGCAAUAGCAGCGUAUUUUUCGGGCAAUGCAGUUGCACUUGAAAGCACAAUGAAACAAUUUAACAUAAAAUUGAAAGCGCCUAAUUCGGCAACUGGAUCCUGGUUAGAACAGUAGUAUUGCUAAGAGCCCGUCCAUACAAACUCCCAACAGUUACUGUCGCAGCAAAUAUGGAUAGAUACAUUUUGCUUUCCUUUAAAACUGCAAAGAGCAAAUGUAAUCAGUUUCCGUGGACCAAUUGAGGCAACAAUAACAUAUGAGAGAAAGUUUUUUUCGAAUAAGCGAUAGUUUGAACGAAAAGUAAUUAAGAUUUGAAACGUGAAAGGAAAUGUAACCAGUGAAAUUGGAUUACAAUAAAAACUUAGUAAUAUAAGAACACAUACUUAUAAUAGUUCCUGAGUUUUUGUUUGUAUGUAUUGUAAUUUUUACUUAAUACUCUCGAUUUUUUGUUAUACAAACAUCAUAUGUAAGAGGUUAUUUAUGUGUUUUGAUUUUGACUUUCUGAAAACUAUCAACAAUUUAUAUAUUUCGAAUAACUAAAAUUCAAAACUUUUAUGCGUAUGUAUUUGUAUGCACACAAAUGUUAUAAACAUUGAAUUUUUUUUAUUUUUCUAAGAUAUACUGUUUAUCAAAUAUAUAUAUUUGUGUAGAUAAUUUUUGUCACUUUUACCAUAUAAAAGGACUAUGUAUAUUUUAUAUGCCACUAAAAACAAUAUCUAUUAAGAAAUUAUGAAAAAAAAACCCUAUUCCAUGAGCAUACAUUA
rnacentral:misc_RNA from 1 species